AGGGGAAAACCGCUUAUUCAUUGCUCAGUAAUCUUUAGAUACAGAAAAGAAACAGAUGCAACAUAGAGAAAUUAAGCAAACGAAGAUUUUUAUGAAUAAGUUAUUCCAGAAUAAUCAGUUAACAAGUUUUCUUUAUUAGGGACAACGACAACCGAAAAUAUCAUCAUUAAGAGUCACUCAAAGAGCCUAGAGAGAGGCAAGUUGGAUUAUCUUUUUCGGUUAUAAUAGCGCUGUCCGCAUUUGUUUGCGCACACCUCAACUAAUAUAAAUAUAAAAGAUAUUUGUUACUUUCAUUAUCACAAAUAUUAGGUAAUUAUUCUAUCCACCAAAUACUUGAACUGUAACAAUAUAAGUAGACGGCGCUCUUCUCUUUUCGGGUUCAUAAUCGGUGCUGAUGUAAAGAACAAUCACCCAAUAUUUCUUUUGCCUCAAGUAGAAAGUUGGAGUACUUUUUGGCCGCAGAUUAAUUUUUCUUCCAACCUAUUGAAAUGAAAUGUGACCAAAAUCAUUCUCCUGCACAGUAUAAGAGAAAAAUGAAUUAGUUAUUGUUUCAAGUUUAACAAGAAUAAGACAGAUAUACCUCGAGUGCCGGAACAAAUAGAACACGUACCAUAAUAAAUCUUGGAAGAUAACAAAGAACAAAUUGGACUAUAAUUAAUGAAUUAGUCUUGAGUACUUACCUUUAUAGCACUAAUUUUAACAGUGGAAUAGAUCAGUAACGUUAGCACAUCUUAACUAUGAAUAACGUCAUACAUAAGUAGAAGAAAAAAUGAAACGUAAAGAACAAAUAUGCAUAUCACUGCCAAUCUAUUCUGAUAUAUGGAGUAUAAUAAUAAACAGGAGCUCCCUUCAGUCCAAUAAGUGGAUCAAGUUAGCGAAAGUAGUUGCUCCCCCGUCAUGCAAAUGGUUAUUCUUAAACGUUUUUGCUAGUAAUUUAAGCUUAACCAAUAUGCAUGACAUGACAGCUCUUGCCGCUACUCGACCCUCGGUCUUGGCCUGAAAGGAGCUCCUCAGCUACAUUUAGAAACUCUCUCAAUUCUCAGUUGUGUUUUUUGUGGGAUGGGACUUAAAUUUAAGCUUCCUCCCUACUAUUUAUAGCAGUAAAUUUAUUAAAAAAGAAAAAGAAAAAAGAAUCCCCAUCUAAGUCUUAGUUAAAAUGGUGGUAGCUAGGUGUAGAAUCUUUCAACUCCAUAAUGCAUGAUUCAUGGGAGAUGCUUCUGUCCAUUGACUGAUAAAUAUUUUGACUGAAGAAACUGCUCAAAUCAUGCCUUGCCAAAUCACUACAGUGAUCUCAAUGAGACAAUUCAUCACACAUAUGGACAAAUAUUAAAUUAUUAACUCUGUUUCGUGUGACGUCAAAACUCACACUAGCAUUUCCUUUUAUCAUUUUAAUAUAAUAGAACAAAAGCGAAUCUAAGCACCUUUAAGCUUAUGAAUCAAAAAAGUUUAUUAAAAUAGUUUUUCACAUGUAUAUACCUGCGCUAUACGUCGAAAAUACUGGUUCACUUGAACUCAUAAUCGGAAGAUUAAGCCGCCUCUAUAUUAGCAUGCCUCUCUCUCCAAAACAAUCCUAUAUACUCCAUUUGUUUCAAAAGAAUUGACACUAUUUUCUUAUUACUAUAUUUCUAAAAGUGUGACAUAUUUUAAUAUUUUUUUAAUAAAAAAUAUUUACAGCCACACAAAUGCUAUGAUAUAUUUUAAAUCAUAAGUUUGAAAAGUUUUACGGCUACGCAAAUAUUGUAACUUAUUUAAAAUUAUAUAUUUCAAAAAUCUUUUUUUUUAUUAAAGUUUGCAUUAAAUCAAACUUACACAAAAGUAUAUUGGAAUUUGAUUGGACUCAAAUUUGCAUGAGGACUCCGUUGGCUAGUAGGCUGCCUUGCCCGUGAAUGAUAAAUUCAGAAUCACCACACAAGUUUCCCAUUGAAAGGUAAAUU
rnacentral:lncRNA from 1 species